rnacentral:lncRNA from 1 species
AGUGUCUAACCAGCCUCCUCUCUGAUAUGCAAAAUUAUGAUGACUUGGAAAGCUCAAAGAGAAGUGUCUGGAAUCAGAAUUGCUUGGUGGAAAGGCAAAGCAGGAGGACCCACAUUGGAUUAUAAACCUCUCUGGAAGAAAAUCUUACUCAGGAGGCAAACAGACUUCUUCCCAUGAACACUAGGCUAGAAACAACCCAUUAAACCCAUCAAGUGGAGAAUAGGAAAUGAGAAAGAAGACAAUGGACUCUACAUAGAAAACAUCUAUCUACAAACAUGAGUAAGUGUUUCAAUAAUUGCUGAAGAACAACAAGCCAAUGAAUGCUGCAGGCGAACUGACCUGGGAAAGCUUCCUCUUGGCCAACAUGGAAAUAGGAGGUUCAGAUUGGUGGAGGAAAAGAGGGA